GUGUCUGUAGCUCAGUUGGUUAGAGCGUCAGUUUGUUAAACUGGGGGUCGUAGGUUCAAGUCCUACCAGACACG
rnacentral:tRNA from 1 species